rnacentral:rRNA from 1 species
UACGUAGGGCGCAAGCGUUUAUCCGGAAUUAUUGGGCGUAAAGAGCUCGUAGGCGGUUUGUCGCGUCUGCUGUGAAAGACCGGGGCUCAACUCCGGUUCUGCAGUGGGUACGGGCAGACUAGAGUGCAGUAGGGGAGACUGGAAUUCCUGGUGUAGCGGUGAAAUGCGCAGAUAUCAGGAGGAACACCGAUGGCGAAGGCAGGUCUCUGGGCUGUAACUGACGCUGAGGAGCGAAAGCAUGGGGAGCGAACAGG